CCCUGGUUAGCUCAGUUGGUAGAGCGCUCCACCUGUAAUGGAGAGGUCCCGGGUUCGAUCCCCGGACCGGGCG
rnacentral:tRNA from 1 species